AUCUGUGUUUUCUUGUUGGUGGUUACCUGCACUGAUAAUCAGUGUGGGGAUCAUGUGAUCUGCAUUGUGUGGCUGCUUGUCUUGGGUCACAUGAGGCAUGUCACAUGAUACAUUAGGAGAUUAUAAAGUUUGGCUUGUGGAGUUCACACUCUCUUGCUGCUGCCAUUUGCCACUGCAACUAGACUCCCGUCAUACAGGGUGACUGCUAGAACAAUGUGUUCCACUCUUCAUGAAGGACACAGGUGACUGCGUGGCAUUUGAAGGACUUGUGGCCUCCUAUUGAGUUGCUGGGCUGCAGACACUCUGCACUGGAGUGCCCCAUUUUAUCUUCCUGGGUUAUUGUGCUGCGGGGAGUAUUGAACACUCUUGCAAAGGACCAGGCCAGCCACUGUUUUAUUGUCAGUGUACAAGUCUUUUUUUUAGUUUGUUUGUUGGUUGUUUUGUUUGCCUUUGGCUUUGUCCUUUUUUUUGUCCUUGGUCUAGUGUAACCCUGCCUUGACCAAGCCAGCGCGGUGGUCAUUGUGUUGGGAGCUGGAUGUUCUCCUCUUUUUGUCUCUGUAUAGGUUCUCUGUACAAGGCCGGAUCUGCACCUCACUACUGCUCCUUUCAGUUGGGGGCUGCACUGAGGGGACACUAUUUUGGGCCUCCUAGGAGAGGAGCUGUGGGUGCCGUGCCGACCCGACCUUAUUAGUUUGAGAAGCUCCAGCCAGUUUCCCUUCGUCUCUUUUUCACAUUAGCAAUUGUACCUAUUCAAAAUUGUAAUAAAUUCGAGCUUGUGUA